UUUAACCCCCGUGUAUGGGGUCCAUUUUCCCACGCAUCACGCGCCCCUCCGGGAAAUGCGAGUCAGUGCGUCGUCACCUUUCUUAGACUUUGAGAGGAGGAAACUCGAGUUGCUCCCGCUCCUGGGGCUGCCCUGCUGCUCCCGGUGCUCUCGUACGUGUUUUGUGAGCCGCGGCGACCUUUCCCUCCCGAGAAGGAUGCGGUCUUGCGCAAGCUUCAAGGUCACGUAGCCAGAGUCGUAAGUCAAGGAGGCCGACGGCCCAAGAAAAUUUUCUUGGAGGUCGACAAGAAGAAAGUCACAUUAACGGUCCGUGGGGACGUGUCUCCCUGCUCACUCUUACUUCCUCAACGCAUGUCUGCAGCCUGAGAAACGAGCGGGAGAAAGAAAAGUGAGCCAAGAGUAAAAAUCAGUGGGGCCCGGAGAGGAUCCGGCUGGUCUAGCAGCCUUCCCCGGAGGUGGGAAUCCUUGGGACAGCAAGGCUGGCUCUAUGUGCUCCUGCCCACCUGCAGCCGGAGAGCUCUGGGCGGGUUCCAGAUGGAAGCACGGUUGACACGUGACGUCCCAUCGGUGUCCGGGGCACACCACAGUGAUCGAUAAAUCCGCGUGUUCAUCGUGCGAUCUCCCCCCAGGGUCCCCGUACACCCCACGGCGAUACCGUCCACCGGCUCCUUGGGCUGUGCCUUUCAUUCCGCGACACAUUCAUUCUCACUCUCCGUGUUAUUGCAAAGGGCAAGAUUCACUUUUUUAUGGCUGCGAAGUAUUUCAUCGAUCUCUCUAUCCUCUGUCUGUCUCAAAAGGAAAUUCGGCCCAUGCUGUUCUACAAAACUUCUUUCGCCGAAGAACAUUCACCUGGAGUACCUUUCAAGUGCGUCCUUUCCAACUUGUGCCCGGGAUUUCCAAUACGGUCGUCUGAAGUCACGUUACGUUCAUGGAAAAUCAGAAAACCUUCCGGCAAGACCGGCGAACAGUGACUUGGGAAUUGCUUCCUGGGGCAAAGACGAGCCAGAUGCUGGCGUCCUGCCCUGGUGGGGUCCCCUUGAGGGCCUGAGCCGAGCUGAAACCCUGCUGCCCGUGGUUCCCCACUGCCCAUCGUGGACUCCAGGGAAAGCCCUCCCUGCUGUUCUCCCGGCGUUUCUCUUCCCUGUGUCCCUGAGCAUCGUCUGUGUGUGGGUUUGAAAAAACUGCUAACCCAGUGGUAAGAACGCCUUUCUGCGAGUCUGCCGGCCCCUGGGUGACCGGACGGCCAGGAGACCAACUCUGAUGCCACCGACAUUAUUGCUUUGAAAACAAAUGGGAGCUGCUCUGUCUGCCGUCACGGACUGGACUGCGGAGCCCACGGCACAGAACACGUGGUCAUUCCUCCUGCCAGCCUGUGACCCUCAGAGGAUGGACCCCACCUCGGGGCCGGGGCAUCUGAGGGGAGCCCUACAGGUCUGGCGUCCAGCAAGCCUGCCCCACGUUAGGAGGUUCCCCACCUGUGGGUCCCGGCCACAGCGCAGCUCUUCCCCACGAGCAUGGCCUUGCCUCCUGUCAGCGACCGGGGCUCAGCCAUGGGUCCGGUCACAGUUCAGCAGGUCACAGCAGGUCACACUUCCUACUGGGGUCACCCAGCACUCUUACUAUUUCCUGCUUUUAUUCUUUAUCUUGGCCGAAUCCAGUUCUGGAAAUAAGGACUUUUCUCCGCUCACUGGCGCUCUGGCUUCACGUUCUGCUGGGCAGGAAGAGCACCGGUCCCUGCUGGGCGUCAGGAGGACCCCGUGGCCGGGACCGAGAGGCGUGGAUUCCUCCAUGCCACAGCCCUCCAUGUGCGUGGAGAGAAGAGGGAAUUUGCUGCCUCGCAGGGCUCAUGUCCUUGCUGGAACCUUCCUGCCCACCCUGAUGCGGCAGGUCCACCCCGGGGCCCUGAGCUCGCUCCCUGUCCCCGAAGGACUGGUGCACACGGAGGGGACCCCAGGGCCACCUUCCUGUCGUGGUUUCUCAAUCUUUUGUGCUCGUGCCGAUCCGUGUGUGUUUGAUGGUGACAGAGGCACAUGAUAGACCUUGUCUUGAGACUUUUUUCCCCACUAAAACUGCACCGUGAAGCUUAAAACCUACUUUUCUCUUUUUACUGAUCAAACAGUCCGUCACAGCAUGGACGGUCAUGAGUCAGUCAUCCACGGCCCCACUGACGGGCACGCGGGGCUCCAGGGCGUCCUCUGCCAGCGUCUGAGCCGACACGGCUCUCCCUGACGUCUGGUGUGCAUCUGCUGGUGCUUCUAGAGAGCCCGAGGAGCUUAGCCCCAUCGCCGGACGUGGUAGGAGCCGGUCUCCCUGCUCACGGAGACGGGCCGUCUUCCUGCAUUCUGACCUGUAGAGCUGGUUACAAUCCUGAAAGGUUUCGCUGAUCCCCGUACGGAAAAAUGACCUCUCAUUCACGAGAGAGGAGCGCCCGUGGAACCGGCAAGGCUGACCGUCCUGGCACGUGACCAUGAGUGUUGCAGGGGGUCCCUGGUGAGUUUGCACCCCUCUCUCCUGUGCUGGGUCUUCCUGAUUAAUUUGUAGGCGUGUCUGGAUCACGGUGCCCAUGUUGUCUCCAUUCAAUGCAUAGGAACAGACUUCGGCCCAGCUUUUAUAAAAAAUAUUUUGUUGAUUGUGUCAGAAUUAUUAAAAUGUUAGAUUAUGUUAGUUAUUUAAAUUUGUAAAAAGUUUACAUUAGGAAGACUGUGAGUUUGUCCCCUGGGGCUCCUGGUGUCCCGUUCUGCCCAGGAAGGCCCUCUGCCUGUUAAUCUCUAGAGCGUAGCUCGUAGCUCCCGGUGGCCGCCUGCCUCGCUGCCCUGAUUCUCGGUGACAUCAAGGACCGAGCGCCGGCAGGGCUGCUCUCCUGCAGACUCACCCCCGGGAGCCCGGUCACCGUAUGACCUCACUGCUUGUGAGUUUUCUUUCCACCAGACCCGGUUCCUGGGCGUGGCGGCUCCUUCCCGGUUAUGUCCUUCCAGGCUCCGCAGGAAUAAAAGAAUUCACCA